GGGGGUGAGGAAUACAUCGGAAUCUACUCUGUCGUGGGGGAUAACGUAGGGAAACUUACGCUAAUACCGCAUACGACCUACGGGUGAAAAGCAGGGGAUCUUCGGACCUUGCGCGAUUGAAUGAGCCGAUGUCGGAUUAGCUAGUUGGCGGGGUAAAGGCCCACCAAGGCGACGAUCCGUAGCUGGUCUGAGAGGAUGAUCAGCCACACUGGAACUGAGACACGGUCCAGACUCCUACGGGAGGCAGCAGCU
rnacentral:rRNA from 1 species